UUCCUUAUACUGAAUUUGCUCAAUAUAUAUAUAGGGGGGUGUUUAGGAAUAUGUUCAUACUCCUCGCACAGAGUCAGAUACAUCCAUUAAGCAUCUGAAAUUCAUCGUGAAGCAGAUAUCCUCGAGGCUAAAGACCUUCCACCAUGAAUCUCCAUUUUCUGAUUGUUUUGCUAAUGUGCGAUUGCAGUUUUUCUGCCAUGAGUCAAGCCACUUUCAAAGGGGAAUGCAUAUCCAAAACAGAGUCCUCUUCUCUGACAUAUGUGGUGGAUGUAAGCGGUUCUAUGAGCGAUGACCUGUAUCAGCUACGAUUAGUAAAUGAUUGGCUUCUGGACAGAGUUUCAUCACGUUUUCCAUGUGGAGUUCGCAAAUAUACAAUGGUAGAGUUUAAUGAUCCAGAGGUCGGACCAAUCCGAAAUACCAGUUCUCGAAGGGAGUUUGGAGAAAUGUUUAAUAAUCUGUAUGCGAACGGAGGAGGUGACUGUCCUGAACUGGCCAUGGCGGGUCUUGAAUUAGGCCUAAAAAAUUCACCCAACAACUCAAUCAUCAUGGUCCUAACUGAUGCAUCAGCAAAAGAUUACGACAAUGCCACUUUAAUAAAUAGUAUAUAUUCACUUAUAUCUUCAAAGAGCUCCCAGGUUUUCUUUUUGAUCACUGGUCUGUGCAAUGGCUUAAAUGAUCCGAAAUUUUUGAUCUACAGAGAUAUUGCCCAUGAAAGCUUUGGGCAUGUGUUUCAAAUUCAGCUAUCGGAAAUGGACCAGGUAUUUCGUUAUUUGGAUUUCACUCUUUCAAGACCAGUAAGGACUUCAACACGACUCUUCUCUGCAGAGUACCAUGGUGGCCAUAAUUCUGAACAGUUCGUUCUUGUGGAUGUAUUUGGUAAACUUAUAUUGAUGACUGAUGGAGUCAUUUCUACAUUUUCGUUAGUUGGUCCAGAUGGUAGUUCUGCUGCAAUGGAAACGAUUGUGUCUGAAAAGUGGGGAUCUGUGUAUGUUGUAACAAACCCUGAAAACGGAACAUGGACUAUAGAUACCGAGGGUGAUGGAAGAUAUUCUGUUACUGUGGAAGGACUAGAAGCAACAAACAUCUCAGCCACCACGGACUGCUCUGGAUGUCACCCUAAUGCUACAUGUGAAGAAUUCUCAGACAGGAAAGAAUGCCAUUGUAACGAUGGUUUAAUCGGUGAUGGAUUUUCAUGCUCUGACAUUGAUGAAUGUGCUUAUUCUUGGUCCAACAACUGCUCUGGUAUCUGUAUAAACACAUAUGGCUCAUACAGAUGUGACUGUGAGCCUGGAUUUACCAAAAACUCUUUAGAUAUUUGUGUUGACAUUGAUGAAUGUUCUGAUGAAAAUCCCAGUUUGUGUCAUCCUCUAGCAAACUGCACAAAUUAUCAUGGCAACUACUCGUGUACAUGUCCCCCUGGCUACUACGGUGAUGGCUAUGAUUGUGAGCUGAAUGAAUGUAUGACAGGUGUUUGUAGUCAAGACAUGGCCUGUGCAAAGUUUAAAGGACAUUUUACCUGUUUUGACCCUUGUACGGAAUAUACCCCACUUGAUGAUCCUUGGAGAAGCAUCGACAGUGGUUAUGGUUAUCAAUGUGAUAACUCCUUAUCUGGAUGGUACAGAUUUACAGGCGCUGGAGGCAUUCGGAUACCUGAAACCUGUGUGUAUGGAUAUCAGUGCAGUACAAUUGCCCCAAUGUGGAUAAAUGGAACACAUCCAUCAGAAAGAGAAGGAAUAGUAAAUCUCACAGCUUGUGCUCAGUGGAAUGGAGACUGUUGUAUGUGGUCAACUAAUGUCCAAGCCAAGGCUUGUCCAGGUGGAUAUCACGUAUAUAAUAUAAAUGGAGUGCCGUCCUGCAGCUCUGCAUAUUGCACAGACCCGGCAGCUACAGUAAAAGAACCAUGCUCCUGUUCUGAAGAUGAAGAAUGCAAAAUGAUCCAUGGGAGCUAUGCAUGUGUCUGUAAAGAUGGACUUGAAGUCUAUGAUAUUGAAGAUGUUGGCCUUGAUAUAGACUGUGGUACAGAAGAAAUGACAGCUUCUUUCCACACGUGCCAAUUGAGAAAUCUUCACCUUAAUGUCACCAAUAUCCAUCUCCUAGACAGCACAUGUGUUGGUUAUACAGAACGGAACAACUCUGAAGUCAUUCUAACUACUAUACCUCUUCAAGAUGGGGUCUGUGGAAAUUAUCUCAUAAAUAAUGGAACACAUGCAACUUACAAAAAUACAAUGUUUGUGCAAAUGGAGACGGAUAACAUCAUUAUAAGAACUUACCGCGUUCAGCUGGAAUUUUCUUGCUCAUAUCCGCUUGAUUUACAGCUUUCUCUGCAUAACUCACUGAAACCAGUUGUAAGUUCACUGACUUUGAGCAUUGAGGGCACUGGACAAUUCAGGGCACAAAUGCUUCUCUAUAAAGAUGAGAAUUAUGCAUCCCCAUAUUACGAUAGUGAGAUUACAAUGUCAACAAAAGCCACACUAUAUGUUGCAGUCACUCUUGAAGGUGCAAACUCAUACCAAUAUGUUGUGGUGAUGAAGAACUGCUUUGCUACGCCAACAAGAAAUUUCUAUGAUCCAGUAAAAUAUUAUAUAAUUAAAGAUAAAUGUCCGAACAGGAGGGAUGGAACUGUCAGCGUCAGACAAAAUGGAGUCUCCACACGAGGACUGUUCUCUGUUCAGAUGUUCAAGUUUGUUGGAGAUUAUGACUCAGUAUAUCUGCACUGUGAAACAAGUAUUUGUGAUACCACAAGAGGCAGAUGCAAACCUUCAUGCACUGGUGUCCGCUCAGAUUUCCCUCUGACUGAUCAUAACCAAUUUGUUUUGGAAUAUGGUCCCAUCGUCCUGUCAGAACAAUGAAGAGCACUUUCACUUAGUGAGGUAUAAUAAAGCAUAUGGACAAGAUGAUGAGAAAACCUCAGAUGCUGCUGGGAUGCAUGCAUCUUGGACAACACUUAUACUUAUUCUGCUGUUUCUCAAACACUGCUCCAGUUUCUGGUGAAAUGUGAUGCAAUAAGGUGUAUGACCGUCUUCCAUGUCCCCUCCCCCAUCAUGUAACACAUUCCAUGGCAAAACAGAAAAUAUGGCACUACACCGGCAUUAUGCUCUUUGCUGUAUAAAAUGCUUAGUUGUCACAUUUUCUGUAUUUUUUCAGCUUUGUAUUGAAAUGUAACAGCUUUAUUAUAUUCCUUCUGUUUUUAUUUCAUACUCCUGUUUACAAAAUAAAAUAUUGGGAACAUUCAUGUUGGUGACAUAUUUAUGAAUUUCAUCUAAUACUUCAGGAUCUGUAUACAAAAUACAGUAUAUACAUUUUGUAACAUUCCCAUAUGUUUCUUUAGGGCAAACAAG